GGAUGUGAGGGCGAUCUGGCUGCAACAUCUGUCACCCCAUUGAUCGCCAGGGUUGAUUCGGCUGAUCUGGCUGGCUGGGCAGGUGUCCCCUUCCUCCCUCACCGCUCCAUGUGCGUCCCUCCCGAAGCUGCGCGCUCGGUGGAAGAGGACGACCAUCCCAGAUAGAAGGAGUGUACCGUUCUUCAGUCAAGGGUAUACGAUAGCUGCGCUCCCCUGCUAGAACCUCCAAACAGUGAGAUAAUCUCCUUUAUGAAGUAGGGUCUGGAUUUAUUGCAGAAUGUGGCAGAAGAACUUAAGCACUCAACAGAUGAUCACAGUUUUGGUUGGUCCAUUGAGUU